rnacentral:rRNA from 1 species
GCUGGCGGCAGGCCUAACACAUGCAAGUCGAGCGCGAAAGCACUUCGGUGUGAGUAGAGCGGCGGACGGGUGAGUAACGCGUAGGAAUCUACCUGGUAGUGGGGGACAACUCGGGGAAACUCGAGCUAAUACCGCAUACGCCCUACGGGGGAAAGCGGGGGACCUUCGGGCCUCGCGCUAUCAGAUGAGCCUGCGUUGGAUUAGCUAGUUGGUGGGGUAAUGGCCUACCAAGGCGACGAUCCAUAGCUGGUCUGAGAGGAUGAUCAGCCACACCGGGACUGAGACACGGCCCGGACUCCUACGGGAGGCAGCAGUGGGGAAUAUUGCGCAAUGGGCGAAAGCCUGACGCAGCCAUGCCGCGUGUGUGAAGAAGGCCUUCGGGCUGUAAAGCACUUUCAAUUGGGAGGAAAGGUUCA